ACCGACGCAUGCGCGCCGCACUCUCGACGAGGCGGCCGUGGCGUUGGUGGCCUCUGCUCCGGUGUCUGUGGGGACAGAGACGGUGGAAGUGCCCUCUUCGGCUCGGUUGGCCCAGACUGCGGCUCAUGGCAUUGAGUGGCAUCCGUCGUCAGAUCAUUAACUGAAGAAAAAAUAAACAGCCAUGCAAAAUUCUCACAUGGAUGAGUACAGAAAUUCCAAUAAUGGCAGCACAGGCAACAGUUCAGAGGUAGUGGUAGAUCAGUCUACUGAUUUCAGUACUGAGAUUAUGAAUGUUACAGAAAUGGAACAGUCACCCGAUGGAUCUCCUAAUGUGAAUACAACUACGGAAGAAAAUGAAAUAGCAAAUACUGUGGACCUUCCAGUGACAGAAACAGAAGCAAAUUUCCCUCCAGAAUAUGAAAAGUUUUGGAAAACUGUAGAAAGUAAUCCUCAGGAUUUUACAGGCUGGGUAUAUUUGCUUCAGUAUGUAGAACAGGAGAAUCACUUGAUGGCUGCCAGGAAAGCGUUUGACAAAUUUUUCAUACACUAUCCGUAUUGCUAUGGUUAUUGGAAAAAGUAUGCAGACCUCGAAAAGCGGCACGACAACAUUAAACAAUCAGAUGAGGUGUAUCGCCGGGGGCUUCAGGCAAUACCUCUUAGUGUUGACCUUUGGAUACAUUAUGUAAACUUCUUAAAAGAAACAUUGGACCCUGGUGAUCCUGAGACAAACAGUACAAUAAGAGGAACUUUUGAGCAUGCUGUUCUAGCUGCAGGAACAGAUUUCCGAUCUGACAGGCUCUGGGAAAUGUAUAUAAACUGGGAAAAUGAACAGGGAAACCUGAGAGAAGUUACAGCUAUAUACGAUCGUAUUCUUGGUAUUCCAACACAGCUGUACAGUCAUCAUUUUCAGAGAUUUAAAGAACAUAUACAGAAUAACUUACCUAGAGAUCUUCUAACUGGUGAACAGUUUAUUCAGCUGCGAAGGGAAUUAGCUUCUGUAAAUGGGCAUAGUGGUGAUGAUGGUCCUCCUGGUGAUGAUCUACCAUCAGGAAUUGAAGACAUAACUGAUCCAGCAAAGCUAAUUACUGAAAUAGAAAACAUGAGACAUAGAAUCAUUGAAAUUCAUCAAGAAAUGUUUAAUUAUAAUGAACAUGAAGUUAGUAAAAGAUGGACAUUUGAAGAAGGUAUUAAAAGACCUUAUUUUCAUGUGAAACCAUUGGAAAAGGCACAACUGAAAAACUGGAAAGAAUACUUAGAAUUUGAAAUUGAAAAUGGGACUCAUGAACGAGUUGUGGUUCUCUUUGAAAGAUGUGUCAUAUCAUGUGCCCUCUAUGAGGAGUUUUGGAUUAAGUAUGCCAAGUAUAUGGAAAAUCAUAGCAUUGAAGGAGUGAGGCAUGUCUUCAGCAGAGCUUGCACAAUUCAUCUCCCAAAGAAACCCAUGGUGCAUAUGCUUUGGGCAGCUUUUGAGGAACAGCAGGGUAAUAUUAAUGAAGCCAGGAAUAUCUUGAGAACAUUUGAAGAAUGUGUUCUAGGAUUGGCAAUGGUUCGUUUGAGAAGAGUAAGUUUAGAACGACGGCUUGGAAAUAUGGAAGAAGCUGAACGUUUGCUUCAGGAAGCCAUUAAAAAUGCCAAAUCAAAUAAUGAAUCAUCAUUCUAUGCUAUCAAACUAGCCCGACAUCUUUUCAAAAUACAAAAAAACCUUCCAAAAUCAAGAAAGGUGCUUUUGGAAGCUAUUGAAAGAGACAAAGAGAACACAAAGUUAUACCUCAAUUUACUUGAAAUGGAAUAUAGUGGUGACCUCAAACAAAAUGAAGAAAAUAUCCUAAAUUGUUUUGACAAAGCUAUACAUGGUUCAUUACCUAUGAAAAUGAGAAUUACAUUUUCUCAGAGAAAAGUGGAAUUUCUUGAAGAUUUUGGUUCAGAUGUUAAUAAGCUUCUGAAUGCUUAUGAUGAACAUCAAACACUCCUAAAAGAACAGGAUUCUUUAAAAAGGAAAGCAAAAUGGAUCAGAAGAACCAGAGGAAAAGAAAGCACACACAGAAGAUACAACUUCAUCAUCUACACAGAUGAUUGAUGGUGACUUACAGGCAAAUCAAGCUGCAUAUAAUUAUAGUGCCUGGUAUCAAUACAACUAUCAGAAUCCUUGGAAUUAUGGACAGUAUUAUCCUCCCCCUCCAACCUGAUGGGAAAAUUAAAUAUCAGAUGGAGUGUGUGAAAAGUUUGAAAUUAUUUUUCUUUAAUGAGGGAUGUAAACAUAGCAUAAGCUUGUUGUAUUUGAUAACUUGUCUUCCCUGUUUCUGUGUAACAUGAUUUGUUCAGUAAUAGGGGAAAAUGUCACUUAGUAGCUUACCACAGAUACUAUUUCCUACCAUUUAUAAAAUUUACUUUUUAUUGGAGAACUAUUUUUUUGAUUUUUGCAUUAAGUGGUCUAGAAUUCUUUUGCAAUGCAUUUGCAACAGAGUUUUGUAGCCUUAAGGGUAGGGGAAAAAAAACUGACUGCAAAUCAUGUCAGUGUAGUACAAGGUUCUGAAAAUACAUAAGGGCUGGUUAUUAAGGAUUUACCUCCUCAAAAAAAAAUGGCUUUUUAACCUUUGCUGACAAGAUACUGUCUGUGUGGUUCAAUUAUCCUUGUGAAUUUGGAUCGAACAGCAGAAGAUACCUAUUAAAAUAUUGUCUUGGAAUAGAGAUUAUAAAUGAGGAAUUGGAAUGUUUGCAUCCCUUUAAAAAAAUGAAAAUCAUAUCAAAACUUGUUUCAGGAGACUUUGUAUUUGGAAUAUUCAUGUUAAAACUUGUGAGCAAGCUUUCAUUUUGAUCAAACUGAUCAUCUUCGUUUUUGUAAUAAAACUGAAGACUCAUCCA